rnacentral:tRNA from 2 species
GUUGGGAUAGCUCAGUUGGUA